rnacentral:sRNA from 1 species
AGUCUCCGCUCCGCGAAUCUCCUCCGGCCACUGCCGCCGCGGUCGCCUCUCACCCGCCCGGCCGCUCCAGCCCGAGGCGCCCCGACCCCGCGCGCCAGGUCCCCAGCCCCGGGGCCCGCCGCCCCCGCGCCACUCCGCGCCCGGCCAGCCGCCCGCAGCCAUGGGGCUCCUGCCCAAGCUCGGCGCGUCCCAGGGCAGCGACACCUCUACUAGCCGAGCCGGCCGCUGUGCCCGCUCGGUCUUCGGCAACAUUAAGAUGUUUGUGCUCUGCCAAGGCCUCCUGCAGCUCUGCCAACUCCUGUACAGCGCCUACUUCAAGAGCAGCCUCACCACCAUUGAGAAGCGCUUUGGGCUCUCCAGUUCUUCAUCGGGUCUCAUUUCCAGCUUGAAUGAGAUCAGCAAUGCCAUCCUCAUCAUCUUUGUCAGCUACUUUGGCAGCCGGGUGCACCGUCCACGUCUGAUUGGCAUCGGAGGUCUCUUCCUGGCUGCAGGUGCCUUCAUCCUCACCCUCCCACACUUCCUCUCCGAGCCCUACCAGUACACCUUGGCCAGCACUGGGUUUCCAUGCAUCUUUCUGAGGCUCCUGAUGAACCCACUCUUCGUCCUGGUGGUCCUGGCCCAGUGCACCUUCUCCUCCGUCAUUGCUGGCCUCUCCACCUUCCUCAACAAGUUCCUGGAGAAGCAGUAUGGCACCUCAGCAGCCUAUGCCAACUUCCUCAUUGGUGCUGUGAACCUCCCUGCUGCAGCCUUGGGGAUGCUGUUUGGAGGAAUCCUCAUGAAGCGCUUUGUUUUCUCUCUACAAACCAUUCCCCGCGUAGCUACCACCAUCAUCACCAUCUCCAUGAUUCUUUGUGUUCCUUUGUUCUUCAUGGGAUGCUCCACCCCAACUGUGGCCGAAGUCUACCCCCCUAGCACAUCAAGUUCUAUACAUCCGCAGUCUCCUGCCUGCCGCAGGGACUGCUCGUGCCCAGAUUCUAUCUUCCACCCGGUCUGUGGGGACAAUGGAAUCGAGUACCUCUCCCCUUGCCAUGCUGGCUGCAGCAACAUCAACAUGAGCUCUGCAACCUCCAAGCAACUGAUCUAUUUGAACUGCAGCUGUGUGACUGGGGGAUCCGCUUCAGCAAAGACAGGAUCGUGCCCUGUCCCCUGUGCCCACUUCCUGCUCCCAGCCACCUUCCUCAUCUCCUUCGUGUCCCUGAUAGCCUGCAUCUCCCACAACCCCCUCUACAUGAUGGUUCUGCGGUGAGUGGCAAACCUCUGUGAGUCCGGGGCGUGGCUUCUCCUUCCCCACAUCUCCUCUCUCCCCCCUUUUCUGGCCCUCAGAGUCCUUUGAAUGACAAUGUGCAAGGUUCUUUUGCUGAGGGGAAAUAAUACUAAUGGCAACAGUGCUGGGAGCCCUGCCCAGGGAGGCUCUGUGCUGAGCUCCUCAUUGCAGGGCCUCAUUCAGUCCCACAGCGUCCAUGUGACACUGGCCCUGUUGGCGCCUCCACUCUGCACAUUGGA